GGGCCAGACUCCUACGGGAGGCAGCAGUGAGGAAUAUUGGUCAAUGGUCGGGAGACUGAACCAGCCAAGCCGCGUGAGGGAUGAAGGUACAGAGUAUCGUAAACCUCUUUUGUCAGGGAACAAAGGCGGGGACGCGUCCCCGGAUGAGUGUACCUGAAGAAAAAGCAUCGGCUAACUCCGUGCCAGCAGCCUCGGUAAUACGGAGGAUCCGAGCGUUAUCCGGAUUUAUUGGGUUUAAAGGGAGCGUAGAUGGGUUGUUAAGUCAGUUGUGAAAGUUUGCGGCUCAACCGUAAAAUUGCAAUUGAUACUGGCAGUCUUGAGUACAGUUGAGGUAGGCGGAAUUCGUGGUGUAGCGGUGAAAUGCUUAGAUAUCACGCAGAACUCCGAUUGCGAAGGCAGCAUACCGGCGCUCAACUGACGCUCAGGCACGAAAGUGUGGGUAUCGAACAGGAUUAGAUACCCGAGUAG
rnacentral:rRNA from 1 species